ensembl:lncRNA
GUGAGUCAGUGAGUGACCGGUGACUGGCUGCUGCAGCCAAUGAUGCGAUUCACAUACGUAUUUACCAUAGACUGUAUAUAAUGGUAUUUACGCAGCUAAUCAACGUCAGACGUCCUUAUGUGCAGCCAUCGUUGUUCUCAUAGAUAUGAAUGAGUAGAUAGGACACGCCCCUUUGAGCUGCGUGCUACAGCGAGGCUAAGCUAGUGGGGGAAAAGUUUCAGUGCAUUCCGUUGAUGUAGAUGGCGUGAAAACGGAAACAAGUAUGCCGGCUCACUGUGCUGCAUACAGUUACACACUACGUCGUACGAUUGAGACAAGGAAACUUGGAAUGACUUUUCAUAGGUUUCCCAGAGACUAUGGGCUGAGGAGGAACUGGAAGUUUGUCGGCUUAGACCUGGUGUCAUUCCAUCAGUGUUAAACUUCCCGGCUCAUCUUGGAAGAGUACGUGCCAGAAAGACCACGACCAAGCAGCCUUGUGAUCUUAGGCAGCGUCUCCCUGAGACCAAAGAACUACAGACUCUUCACAACCUGCUCAAACUCUUGGUACAGGACCUCACCACACGGGUCAAGAAGGUUUCUGUCUCAUUUCUACUCUGAAGCUCACCUUCUCCUGCUCAAACUGCUGACAAAUGUUUCUGCUGCUCUAAAGUCUGGUCUCCAGAACUUCCUAAAAACUCUCAAAGUCUCUUCUGC